UGGCCUAUAGCUCAGCUGGUUAGAGCGCACGCCUGAUAAGCGUGAGGUCGAUGGUUCAAGUCCAUUUAGGCCAUCGA
rnacentral:tRNA from 1 species